GACGAACGCUGGCGGCAUGCCUAACACAUGCAAGUCGAGCGAGCAGAUCCCUUCGGGGUGAAGCUAGCGGCGGACGGGUGAGUAACACGUGGGCAACCUGCCUCAUAGAGGGGAAUAGCCUUCCGAAAGGAAGAUUAAUACCGCAUAAGAUUGUAGCUCCGCAUGAAGUAGCAAUUAAAGGAGCAAUCCGCUAUGAGAUGGGCCCGCGGCGCAUUAGCUAGUUGGUGAGGUAACGGCUCACCAAGGCGACGAUGCGUAGCCGACCUGAGAGGGUGAUCGGCCACAUUGGGACUGAGACACGGCCCAGACUCCUACGGGAGGCAGCAGUGGGGAAUAUUGCACAAUGGGGGAAACCCUGAUGCAGCAACGCCGCGUGUGUGAUGACGGCCUUCGGGUUGUAAAGCUCUGUCUUCAGGGACGAUAAUGACGGUACCUGAGGAGGAAGCCACGGCUAACUACGUGCCAGCAGCCGCCGUAA
rnacentral:rRNA from 1 species